UACGUAGGGUGCAAGCGUUGUCCGGAAUUACUGGCGUAAAGGGUUCGUAGGCGGUGUGGCAAGUCGGGAGUGAAAUCUCUGGGCUUAACUCAGAGGCUGCUUCCGAAACUGCCGUGCUAGAGUGCGGGAGAGGCGAGUGGAAUUGCAGGUGUAGCGGUGAAAUGCGUAGAUAUCUGCAGGAACACCCGUGGCGAAGGCGGCUCGCUGGACCGCAACUGACGC
rnacentral:rRNA from 1 species